rnacentral:rRNA from 1 species
UACGUAGGGAGCAAGCGUUGUCCGGAAUCAUUGGGCGUAAAGCGCGCGUAGGUGGCCUCAUAAGUCCGCUGUGAAAGUCAAAGGCUCAACCUUUGAAAGCCGGUGGAUACUGUGAGGCUAGAGUACGGAAGAGGCGAGUGGAAUUCCUGGUGUAGCGGUGGAAUGCGCAGAUAUCGGGAGGAACACCUAUGGCGAAGGCAGCUCGCUGGGACGUUACUGACGCUGAGACGCGAAAGCGUGGGGAGCAAACAGG